CACGCCGUAAACGAUGAGUGCUAGGUGUUGGGGGUCAAACCUCGGUGCCGCAGUUAACACAUUAAGCACUCCGCCUGGGGAGUACGUGCGCAAGCAUGAAACUCAAAGGAAUUGACGGGG
rnacentral:rRNA from 1 species